UACGUAGGGGGCAAGCGUUGUCCGGAUUUAUUGGGCGUAAAGAGCGUGUAGGCGGCCAUACAGGUCCGUUGUGAAAACUGGAGGCUUAACCUCCAGACGUCGAUGGAAACCGUAUGGCUAGAGUCCGGAAGAGGCGAGUGGAAUUCCUGGUGUAGCGGUGGAAUGCGCAGAUAUCAGGAGGAACACCAAUGGCGAAGGCAGCUCGCUGGGACGGUACUGACGCUAAGGCGCGAAAGCGUGGGGAGCAAACAGG
rnacentral:rRNA from 1 species